UCUUCAUUCCACGUACUGUCUCACCGAUCAGAGUAACGAGAGAGCAUGCAAAAUGAAGAGA
rfam:Pristionchus pacificus strain PS312 contig3544, whole genome shotgun sequence.